AUACUUACCUGGCAGGGGCAGUUCCAUGAUCACGAGGUGGUUUUCCUGGGCAAGGCUUAGCCCAUUAUAUUUCGGGCAUGCUGAUCUCUGCGAUUCCCCAAAUGUGGGAAAUUCGACUGCAAAAUUUGUCAUAGUGGGGGAUUUCGUAUGCACUUUCCCCUC